GGGAUAUGAGGAGUGGAUGGAUCUCGCCAUUAAGAAUGCGAGUUGGGUGUCCUUCCCAAGCCUGGUUACGACAACUUGGGCACUCCCCCUUUUUCCAAUCUGAUCCC